UGGAGAGUUGGCAGAGAGGCCGAUUGCAACCGCCUGCUAAGUGGUUAUCCGGGUAAAACUGGAUCCAGGGUUCGAAUCCCUGACUCUCCGA
rnacentral:tRNA from 1 species